rnacentral:rRNA from 1 species
AUUGAACGCUGGCGGCAGGCCUAACACAUGCAAGUCGAGCGAGCGGCGGACGGGAGAGUAAUGUAUGGGGAUCUGCCUGAUGGCGGGGGAUCACUACUGGAAACGGUAGCUUAUACCGUAUACCAUCAGAUGACCCCAUAUGGGUUGAGCUUGUAGGUGAGGUAACGGCUCACCAAGGCGACGAUCUCUAGCUGGUCUGAGAGGAUGAUCGGCCACACUGAGACUGAGACACGGCCCAGACUCCUACGGGAGGCAGCAGUGGGGAAUAUUGCACAAUGGGAGCAAGCCUGAUGCAGCCAUGCCGCGUGUAUGAAGAAGGCCGUCGGGUUGUAAAGUACGUUCAGUCGGGAGGCGUUACCGACAGAAGAAGCACCGGCUAACUCCGUGCCAGCAGCCGCGGUAAUUC